rnacentral:misc_RNA from 1 species
GUGAAUCAUCGAAUCUUUGAACGCAUAUUGCGCCCUUUGGUAUUCCGAAGGGCAUGCCUGUUCGAGCGUCAUUAUCAACCAUCAAGCCUAGCUUGUAGUUGGACUUUUUUACGACUGAAAUAUUUCGUAGGUCCGAAAGAUAAUGACGGUGUCGUGUUUGACCCUAAAUGCAACGAGCUUUUAUAGCACGCAUUGAAGUGGUCGGCCGACCCGGUCUUAACCAUUAUUUUCUAAGGUUGACCUCGGAUCAGGUAGGAAUACCCGCUGAACUUAAGCAUAUCAAUAAGCGGAGGA